AUUGAACGCUGGCGGAAUGCUUUACACAUGCAAGUCGAACGGCAGCACGAGGGCAACCUUGGUGGCGAGUGGCGAACGGGUGAGUAAUACAUCGGAACGUGCCCAGUCGUGGGGGAUAACGUAGCGAAAGACUACGCUAAUACCGCAUACGAUCUAUGGAUGAAAGACGGGGGACCGGUAAGGCCUCGCGCGAUUGGAGCGGCCGAUGGCAGAUUAGGUAGUUGGUGGGGUAAAGGGACUCACCAAGCCUGCGAUCUGUAGCUGGUCUGAGAGGACGACCAGCCACACUGGAACUGAGACACGGUCCAGACUCCUACGGGAGGCAGCAGUGGGGAAGUUUUGGUAC
rnacentral:rRNA from 1 species